rnacentral:rRNA from 1 species
GACGAACGCUGGCGGCGUGCUUAACACAUGCAAGUCGAACGGAAAGGCCCUGCUUUUGUGGGGUGCUCGAGUGGCGAACGGGUGAGUAACACGUGAGUAACCUGCCCUUGACUUUGGGAUAACUUCAGGAAACUGGGGCUAAUACCGGAUAGGAGCUCCUGCUGCAUGGUGGGGGUUGGAAAGUUUCGGCGGUUGGGGAUGGACUCGCGGCUUAUCAGCUUGUUGGUGGGGUAGUGGCUUACCAAGGCUUUGACGGGUAGCCGGCCUGAGAGGGUGACCGGCCACACUGGGACUGAGAUACGGCCCAGACUCCUACGGGAGGCAGCAGUGGGGAAUAGUGCACAAUGGGCGGAAGCCUGAUGCAGCAACGCCGCGUGCGGGAUGACGGCCUUCGGUUUGUAAACCGCUUUCGCCUGUGACGAAGCGUGAGUGACGGUAAUGGGUAAAGAAGCACCGGCUAACUACGUG